UUUAGUUCUCUUUUUGCUGGAGGAGGAUGUAAUGGGGUGUAUUAUCGCCUAUUCAGUGCAGGCCUUUCGAUGGAUCGCAAACACACACUAACAUGCCACGGUGGAGUGUGGACAACUGAGGAUUAGUCUCUGUCUGUUGGUGGCUGUUCAAGACUCUUCUGUAUUUGUCCUCCAAAGAUGGUCUCAUCAUUUAUCCUAAUGUGGAAGUUGGGCUCUAUCUUCAUCACAUCCGCAGUGUUCCUCACUGCUGCCUGUGUGUUCUGCACCCCCUGUGGCCAACAUGAGUAUCUAACCGACAAACAAAGAUGUUGCCCUAUGUGUAAGGCUGGAUUUUAUGCUUUUAGGCAUUGUACAAAUUUAAGAAUGACAAUUUGUAAGCCAUGUCCCCUUCAAAGUUUUACUGAUGGACUUAACGGACGACAGCAAUUCAAGUCUUGCACAGUUUGUGACCCAAAGAUGGGCUUAAAGAUCAAGAGGGCAUGCAGCCCAACAUCAGACACACUCUGUGAGCCUCUGGAAUAUCACUGGUGUACUGACCCAAUCAAUGAUGGCUGCCUAAGAGCUAAGGCACACUCUAAAUGCCUACCAGGACAGCAAAUCGCUAGGAACGGAACAGCAUCUUCAGAUGUGCAUUGUGGGAUGUUGCACUGCAGCCAUGGCCGUUGCCUUUUACAAAAACAGCCCGUGGAAGACACACAAUUAAACCCAAGAUUUAGAACAAUGCAACUUUUUUCUUGCAUUUGGUUUGUAACUUAUUUUCAUACCAUGUUUCUUUUAUGCAGCCCUAAUACAGAGAGGCGUAUCUUCUGGUUCAUGGGCCUGGUCAUAUCUUUUUUUAUAUCCUUAUUUUUUGAACAAUUAUGGAUACUUGGUAUGGUAUGUUUUGUCAUCUCACUUGUAUUUGUCAGAGUUUUGUCUUGGUUACAUAUUCUUCAAUUCCAAUUCAGAUGGGUGAUGUUAGGGAUGCAUUUGCUUAUGUUGGAUUUGUUAGUACAAAUUUAUUUUUAGCAUCAUUGGCUCUAUCCUCAGUUAGCUGUAACUUUGUAAAAAAGCAUGUGCUAUAGUCUUCAUGUCAGAUUUUGGUCUAAAGGGACUUACAGUAUAUUUGUUGAAAAUAAUGUGUAACAUUUGAUGAAAAUAAUAGUUCCACAAAAAGUAAAAAAAGUGCCAUUAAGAAAGCCCGGAAAACUAUAGCGACUUUCCAAUCCUCCACCAAUUUACUGCUGCACCAUGCUAUGCCGCCUCAAAAAUUUGAGACUUGACGUGAGAUUCGAGCGAUCACUCACGUUCAAAUUGAUAAAUGCCAUGCUUUAGGUGGAAAUGUUUGUAUGCCUGUCCUACGCCUGUUUUAUGUUUUAUGUACAUUCAUUUAAAAAAUGAGGGCCAAUGAGUGUAUCACAGACAUCAAAGACAGGAAGUCCUAAAGUUUUCUACAGUUAAAUGACAGCAAAGGCAGAAGUAAUUUGGCUUGGCCCUCCCACUGUAGUGUAAAGCUUGAAGGACAGCCUUGGCUCCCCCACCUCCUAUUCACACAACCAGCAUAUCGUCGUAAAAUGAAACAUUUCUCUGCAUCACACUCUUUGUUGGGAACAGCAAGCUAGGAUCAUAUUAUGGAUCCCAAUAGAAAAAGACAGCUACUCUUAACUUCAAUCUCUGAAUUAACACAAUGUAGCCUCAUGUCACCUCUCGGGCUCCGUAGAAUUUAAGCAGUUAUAUGACUAAUAAAUAUUUUAUUUAUUAGACUUUCCACGUUUCAUUUUUUCAGCCCUCAUUUUUCUAUAAUAUUAAAGAAGAAAUCUGACGAGUUUUCACAUAGAUCUCUGUUUCUCGAGGUCACGAGUACUGUCGGUAUGUGAAGCACUUUGGUCUUAAACGUGCUAUAUAAAUUAAAAACUUACUUACUUAUA